rnacentral:rRNA from 1 species
UAGUUUGAUCCUGGCUCAGGAUGAACGCUGGCGGCGUGCUUAACACAUGCAAGUCGAACGAACGACUAUUAACAGAACCUUUCGGGGCGAAGAAUAUAGAAGUUAGUGGCGGACGGGUGCGUAACGCGUGGGUAAUCUGCCUUUGUCAAAGGAAUAACUAUUCGAAAGAAUAGCUAAAACCGUAUAACAUAUUAAUAGGGCAUCCUAAUAAUAUCAAAAUUGAGGUGGACAAAGAUGAGCCCGCGUCUGAUUAGCUAGUUGGUGAGAUAAAAGCCCACCAAGGCAACGAUCAGUAGCCGACCUGAGAGGGUGAACGGCCACAUUGGAACUGAGACACGGUCCAAACUCCUACGGGAGGCAGCAGUGGGGAAUAUUGCACAAUGGGGGGAACCCUGAUGCAGCAACGCCGCGUGAGUGAAGAAGGCAUUCGUGUCGUAAAACUCUGUAGUAAGGGAAGAAAGAAAUGACAGUACCCUAAAAGAAAGCCCCGGCUAACUACGUGCCAGCAGCCGCGGUAAUACGUAGGGGGCAAGCGUUAUCCGGAAUAACUGGGCGUAAAGGGUGCGCAGGUGGUUUAACAAGUUAGUGGUGAAAGGCAUAGGCUCAACCAAUGUAAGCCAUUAAAACUGUUUAACUUGAGUGCAGGAGAGGAAAGUGGAAUUCCUAGUGUAGCGGUGAAAUGCGUAGAUAUUAGGAGGAAUACCAGUGGCGAAGGCGACUUUCUGGACUGCAACUGACACUGAGGCACGAAAGCGUGUGGAGCAAACAGGAUUAGAUACCCUGGUAGUCCACGCCGUAAACGAUGAGUACUAGGUGUCGGGUGAAGAACUCGGUGCCGAAGUUAACACAUUAAGUACUCCGCCUGGGG